ACUGAAUGUAGUCUUUAUUCUCUGUGUCAUUCUGCCAGAAAAGUCUCAUUACCUAUCCUUGCUCACUCCAUAGACUGCAAGCCAAAAUUAUUCAUGGAUUCUAAAAUUAUUCAUGGAUGGCCUGUUCAUAUCAUCUGCAAAUUUCACAGAAGAAUGUGACUCUAUGCUUGAAUGCAGUCUCAAAUUUAAUGCUUUUCCUGCACAUUUGCUCCUUAUGCAGAGAUUUUAGAAGAUCUGAGUCAAAAGGGAUGCAGACAAGCCUGACACAAUCACAUCAAAUAUCCUAUAACAUCAAACAACUACCCAUCAAAAAUAAGAUUUUAUUUACUACAUAGUUAAUGUUUUAAAAAAAUUAAAUAAAAA
rnacentral:lncRNA from 1 species